ACUUUGUGUGCAGAUAUUGCGCAGCUUCUGCUCAAGCUUGGAGUGCCACAGUAUGAACCCAAAGAUUGGAGACUGUUCAGUGACAGCAGCAAGCAAUCACUGAAAUGUGUUCUGCUACACAACGGCAACCAGUUUGCCUCUAUACCCCUGGCUCACUCGAGUACACUGAAGGAGAACCAUGAAGCGGUGAAGUAUGUGCUGGAGAAAAUUGGUUAUGAUCAGCAUAAGUGGUUUAUUUGUGUUGACCUGAAGAUGGUGAACUUUUUGUUGGGACAACAGUCUGGCUUCACCAAGUACACAUGUUUUCUGUGCAUGUGGG